UCACUUUCAACAACGGAUCUCUUGGCUCUCGCAUCGAUGAAGAACGUAGCGAAGUGCGAUAAGUAGUGUGAAUUGCAGAAUUCCGUGAAUCAUCGAAUCUUUGAACGCAAAUUACACUUCCUGGCAUCCCGGGAAGUAUGCCUGUUUGAGGGUCAGUU
rnacentral:rRNA from 1 species